rnacentral:rRNA from 1 species
UACGUAGGGGGCAAGCGUUGUCCGGAUUUAUUGGGCGUAAAGAGCUCGUAGGUGGUUCGGUAAGUCGGAUGUGAAAUCUCCAGGCUCAACCUGGAGGGGUCAUUCGAUACUGCCGUGACUAGAGUUCGGUAGGGGAGUGUGGAAUUCCUGGUGGAGCGGUGAAGUGCGCAGAUAUCAGGAGGAACACCCGUAGCGAAGGCGGCACUCUGGGCCGAUACUGACACUGAGGAGCGAAAGCGUGGGGAGCGAACAGG